UGGUUUGUGGCUUAGUGGUAGAGUGCUUGCCUAGCAUGCAGGAAGUCCUGGGUUUGAUUCCUCAGCACCAC
rnacentral:tRNA from 1 species